GAUGAACGCUGGCGGCGUGCCUAAUACAUGCAAGUCGAGCGAACGGACGAGAAGCUUGCUUCUCUGAUGUUGGCGGCGGACGGGUGAGUAACACGUGGAUAACCUACCUAUAAGACUGGGAUAACUUCGGGAAACCGGAGCUAAUACCGGAUGAUAUUUUGAACCGCAUGGUUCAAAAGUGAAAGACGGUCUUGCUGUCACUUAUAGAUGGAUCCGCGCUGCAUUAGCUAGUUGGUAAGGUAACGGCUUACCAAGGCAACGAUGCAUAGCCGACCUGAGAGAGUGAUCGGCCACACUGGAACUGAGACACGGUCCAGACUCCUACGGGAGGCAGCAGUAGGGAAUCUUCCGCAAUGGGCGAAAGCCUGACGGAGCAACGCCGCGUGAGUGAUGAAGGUCUUCGGAUCGUAAAACUCUGUUAUUAGGGAAGAACAUAUGUGUAAGUAACUGUGCACAUCUUGACGGUACCUAAUCAGAAAGCCACGGCUAACUACGUG
rnacentral:rRNA from 1 species